rnacentral:rRNA from 1 species
CAAUAGCGUAUAUUUAAGUUGUUGCAGUUAAAAAGCUCGUAGUUGGAUUUCGGAUGGGACUUGCCGGUCCGUCGUUUCGAUGUGCACUGGCCAGUCCUAUCUUGUUGUCGGGGACUAGCUCCUGGGCUUCACUGUCCGGGACUAGGAGCUGACGAGGUUACUUUGAGUAAAUUAGAGUGUUCAAAGCAAGCCUACGCUCUGAAUACAUUAGCAUGGAAUAACACGAUAGGACUCUGGCUUAUCUUGUUGGUCUGUGAGACCAGAGUAAUGAUUAAGAGGGAAAGUCGGGGGCAUUCGUAUUUCAUUGUCAGAGGUGAAAUUCUUGGAUUUAUGAAAGACGAACUUCUGCGAAAGCAUUUGUCAAGGAUGUUUUCAUUA